rnacentral:rRNA from 1 species
CCUACGGGGGGCAGCAGUGGGGAAUAUUGCACAAUGGGGGAAACCCUGAUGCAGCGACGCCGCGUGAAGGAAGAAGGUUUUCGGAUCGUAAACUUCUAUCAGCAGGGAAGAAGGAAGUGACAGUACCUGACUAAGAAGCCCCGGCUAACUACGUGCCAGCAGCCGCGGUAAUACGUAGGGGGCAAGCGUUAUUCGGAAUCACUGGGUGUAAAGGGUGCGUAGGCGGUAGGGCAAGUCAGAUGUGAAAGCCGGGGGCUCAACCCCGGGAUUGCAUUGGAAAGUGUCUUACGAGCGUGAAAGAGAGGAAAGCGGAAUUCCUAGUGUAGCGGUGAAAUGCGUAGAUAUUAGGAAGCACACCUAUGGCGAAGGCGGCUCUCUGGACUGUAACUGACGCUGAGGCACGAAAGCGUGGGGAGCGAACAGGAUUAGAUACCCGGGUAGUC